UGCCAGCAGCCGCGGUAAUACGAAGGGUGCUAGCGUUGUUCGGAAUUACUGGGCUUAAAGGGUUCGUAGGCGGCCACUUAAGUCAGGGGUGAAAUCCCACGGCCCAACCGUGGAACGGCCUCUGACACUGAGUGGCUUGAGUGUGCUAGGGGUAAGCGGAACGUGUAGUGUAGCGGUGAAAUGCGUAGAUAUUACACGGAAGGCCGGAGGCGAAGGCGGCUUACUGGAACACAACUGACGCUGAGGAACGAAAGCGUGGGGAGCAAACAGGAUUAGAUA
rnacentral:rRNA from 1 species